rnacentral:misc_RNA from 1 species
UCACCCCUCAAGCCCCCGGGUUUGGUUUUGGACGGUCUGGUUUCGGGGCGGAUGUUUCAUCCCCUAGAAACCCCUCCUAAAGACAAUGACGGCGGGCUGAUAGCACCCCCGGUACACUGAGCUUCUUAACUGAGCACGUAUCGGAUCCAGGGUCGAUCGGCACCCGGUCUUACCUAUAAAUUUUUUCA